rnacentral:lncRNA from 1 species
UGAGGCUUGCGUAGCAUGUUGCUACAUUAAGUCAUUUAACACAUGUUUAUCUAUUUCCAGGGGUUUAUAUCUUCUUCUUGAUUCUAGUCGGGGUUUUCUGGUUCUCCUAAGAUGGAUAUUGGAAGAAAAAGACAUGUCGCCUAAAAAUUUCCUGUGGUUUAUUUGGAUCCCAUUCAACAGCUGAUGAAGUUAAUGGAUCAUGAUUCUCUAGAACGAUUCCGGAAGGAUUACGGGUUG